UACAAAUGUUUCACAACCUUUUGUAGGAAGGAGUUGCCCAUUUGCUUCUCUAAAGAAUUACCAAGUUGAUAGAAACAAAGAAAUGAUGGCCCUCGGUCUCUAAUGAAUAUGGCUGGUUCUUGCACUUCAUGCUAUGUUACAUCAGGUUGGGGUUUCUGUAGUCAAGAUUCUCUUGCAUGUCACCAGGCCAAACACUGGAAAUUGGGAAUAUAUUCCAUCAACACAGAUGCAAAGGUGCCUUCAUUUCUCAUACUGGCCACCCAAUUUCCAAUCUACUUCGAAAAUUCAACUUAUCUACAAGAAAGCCUAGCAGAUUACAGUAAAAGCAUUCUAGUGAGCAAAUGUUUGGCUGAAUAAAGGAAUUAUUGAUAUGUCCCCUUGUGUGUGAAUGUGAUGGAGAAAUUACAUAAUUCCAAAAUCCUUUGGAAUGAAUUCAGUCUAUCUAACAGUGGGAGACAUCUUAGCAUCAUGGAAGCCUCAGGGAAAGAAAUAAUAAUUACGUAUUGAUAGAUAUUUGAUGGGAAUAAGAUGAGGAGUGCUUGUUGAUGGCGUUGAAUAGCCGAUUCUGAUGGGUCCCAAGUGCCUAUUCAGGCCACAUUCAUCAUUGCCUGCAAUGAGUUAAUCCAAUAAAUAGAAACUGUUGCUUUAUGAAUCAGUCCUGAAUGAGUUGGCGAGGAAAGUGCUUGUCUAAUCCUUCCAGACCCUUGGGCAGUCUUGAAAGAGGUUUAGCAUAGACCUGACUUCUUUUUUUUUUAACUUCAUUUUGUGAGCAAUACCCUAAAUCAUUUAAACAUUAUGAUUUGGUUUAAUGAAGAGAAAAAAAUAGGUUAAACUUUGUUGCAUUCCA